rnacentral:misc_RNA from 1 species
AUUUUCCUUUCUCUUUCCGUCUCAGAGACAGACAAACAAACAACAGAUGGAUAUCUCUAUAUCUCUUUCUCUCUGCGAUUCAUAGAAACUGUCUCGCGUUUUCCUCAUAAUCUCUCCCGCUUUUCUUCCAAAUUAUUUUCUUAAUUUUCCCAUUCUUUCGCUUCUUCUUCGAAAUUCUCUUUCGUUUUCCUUCAUAUACGAGUCUCGGAUCGGAUUAUGCAUCGUUGAGUGUUGUGUUUGUAUUGUUGUAUGACGAGCGCAUCAGAGCUUUUUUAUCAGAGGAGGUCGCGGGUGGGCAGAGCCACCACCGCGGAUCUGGAGCUUGACCCUUCCAGUUCUGACCGAAAUUUUCACCUUAAUUACGCUCGUCGCCACCAUCACCAUCAUGAUAAUCAUAGCCGGUAUGAUUUGGACGGAUGUGAUCCUCUCCGGAGAUCUCCGCACGUGCGUCGCCUGUGCCAUCGGCUUUCUUCUCACGCUGAUCGUGGCCCAGGUCAGCUUGAUCAAGGUACAAGUCAAUUUGUACCAAGCAACAGUACCAGCUCAGAAACUUCAAGCAGCACAAGAAGGCCAAGAUUGACUGGAAACGAAAGGCUUCCUGGAGCUGUGCUACUUGCAAGGGCAAGACUUCUUGAGAGAUUGAGAGCGGUGUCGCUCUCUGGACACAGGCGAAGUGGCAGGGUGUCAUUUGGCACAUACCACAGGGAGUAUACAUUUGGCGAUGACAUAAGGGUUGCUGAUGCAGGGGACUGGGGAACUGACAUUGCAUCAGGGUGGUCUGCCAGAGGAGCACCUUUACCUGACCCAACUUUCCAAACAGAAAGACUGCAAUUUGUGCAGGAAUCUUACAGGAAGAAACCACCUGGUUUAACUCAAGAGGAUCUUGCCAGUUUACCAUUCGAGUUAUAUAGCAGCUUGGAAAGGGGUGUUGAAGAGGAAAUUUGUCAAGUGUCAUGGGAUUGUAGUAUAUGUCUUGAAAGUUUCAAGGAAGGAGAUAAGCUUAUUCGCCUACCAUGUGAGCAUAGGUUCCACGCUGCCUGUUUGAAUCCCUGGGUUCGAACUUGUGGUGACUGUCCAUAU